AGGCGAAACCCGCCCCUUCGGGGGCGUGGUCCACCGGGCUGGCAUCCCGGUGCUGAUGAGCCUGCCAUCC
rnacentral:hammerhead_ribozyme from 1 species